UGUAUAGUGUAAAGUAAGUCUCUCUGAGACAGUGACACUCUUGAUAAUGACCGUGGUGACCAUUUCCCAGUGGUAUCAUAUUGACAGACCUGUGGCGUGUCUAUACGAAAUGUACCAUGUUGUAAUUCUGGAACAAUACAAAGGUGCUGUUUGACCAGCGUGUUGUUAUUAACAACCACUAGGUGGCAGCAAAUAGCAGUUUAUGAUUUUACCUGUUGAUAAGCAACACCUUUGCAUAUAUUGGUUAGUAAACAUAUUGUGUGGAUUCGGAUGCUGUUUGAAAUCAAAAUGUUAUUUGUGACAUGCGCCCAGGUAUUGAUUACAGUGAAACACAACAGGUAUUGAUUACAGUGAAACACAACAGGUAUUGAUUAGAGUGAAACACAAGUUAUUGAUUGCAGUGAAACACAACAGGUAUUGAUUACAGUGAAACAACAGGUAUUGAUUACAGUGAAACACAACAGGUAUUGAUUACAGUGAAACACAACAGGUAUUGAUUACAGUGAAACACAACAGGUAUUGAUUACAGUGAAACACAACAGGUAUUGAUUACAGUGAAACACUAAAGUGUUUAAAAAAUGUACACAAAAAAUGAAUUGUAAAUGUUUUGUGAAACUAUAUGGGACAGUGAAAAGAACUGCUUAGCUAUAAUGAGGGGAAUCAUAUAAGACUAUGUUAUUAAUUUACAUUUGAGUCAUUUAGCAGACGCUCUAAUCCAGAGCGAUCUAUAAUUAACGCAUUCGGUCUUAAGUUAUCUAGGUGAGACGACCACUCAUCACAAUCGUAGUAGGUACUUUUUUACCACAAAAUAAAGUAGUUAUCAGAAACGUUGGUGUCGGUAGGCUGCUUUUGCAAGUCAUUGGAAUUCUUCCUUUCUUCGUGUGAUGAUUUUAUAUGUAUUGAUAGAGCAUCCUUGGAUUAUACAGAGGACCUCUAAAAUCAGUCCAUAGUAGGUUACGGAGUAUUAUAACACAACAGCCUGUGACUAAAGAUUCCAAGCAAUGAGCAAGUGGUAGGCCUGAUCUCCUUCAUGUCCCUACCAUGUUUGUUAUCUGUGAAAUGCUUGGAACAAUUAGUAUAUUUCUGGGGAAAGUACUGAAAGGUCCAAUGUAGAUGUUUUUUUAUUUUUUAUCUCAAUGCCAACUCAUUUUUGGGUUAACUAUGAAGUACCUUACUGUCAUUGUUUUCAAUUCAAAUGGUAAUAUAUAUAUAAAUAGCUUCUUAGUAAAGAGCAAUUUCUCAAGCAAUAAUUUAUCUAGGACUGUUUGGAAGUGGUCUGACUGGGGAGGGGAAACUGAAAGCUAGCUGUUAUUGCCAGAGAGGUUAGGAACUCUCUUAUUGGUCUAUUAACUCAUUUACUGCAUGGUGAUGUCACCAUGGAAGGCCAAAACUCCAUCACACCUUUUCAAACAGCUCUUACACCAAAAGAGCAUAAUCAUAAUUUUCACAAUUUCACAGUAUUAUUCCAUUCUCAUUGUGUGGAAAUAUAUAUAAAGAACACAGGAAAAUCAAGUUUUGACUGCACAGUGAACUCCGAUGUGCCGUUGAAUAAAUCUGCUGCAAUA